ensembl:lncRNA
CGGGGACCCAGAGGGGAGGCGGGUGCCCCUGCCCCCACGAGGGUCAGUGGUCAGGGGACUGUGGGCCUCCAGCUGCAGCCAAUGAGAGACAGACCACUGAAGGGCCCUGGGAGAGAACACAGCCCAGGGCAGGGGUCGGGGUGACAGGGACCCUGAGCACAGUGUGACUCAGGGGGGAAGAGCUGCCUGACCGUGUGACCCUGGGGGCCCUCCAAAGGGAUGCGCUCAGGGGUUACCAGGGGGCUGGAGGCGACCUCCUCAAGGUGUCCUGGCAUCUCUGAGACUCUCUGUCCUCGCUGUAGCUCUGUAAUGUCACGAAAAGCCGAAGGUGCAGAUACGAAAUGGCACCAACACUGAGUUUCUCCCAGAGGCAUUCAGGUAUUUAAAAAAUCCCACGGAACACAGCUUGCGGAAGGCAGAGAGUGAGGCUGAAGCACGAUGACCUAGAUCUGGAGGCGGCCCGCCAGACAGCGGAGGGAAGCUCCUGCCCCUCCCCCACGGCCACCUCUCUGCCAGCGAGGGCCGGGGCUUGGGGUUGCAAAGGCUGGCUCCACCUCUCCACUGCAUCCCAGCUCCCCGGCUGGCCAUGCGAGCAUCAGGCCAGAGAGAUCGGAAAACCCUCCCAGAAUCAACAGGACGCAGCGAGGGCUCUGGUGCCCACUGCCCAGCUGCGCAGGCCAAGGCCCUCCGUGGCCCUGGUACCUGCCCUGCUGGUGGCACCCUGCCUGGUGCAUGCUGGCCUUGGGGCCCGGGCACCAGCCGGGGAGGGCAGAGUGGGUUGGUGGCACAGGUGCACUGGCUGUCAUGCCCAGGUGAGAAGGCGGCGACCAGAGCCCUCAGAGCACACAUCCGUCAUCUGGUUUCCUGGGUCUCUGGCGACUGGUCAUACUUGGGUGAGGGCAAGGACUCAGGGUCUCAGUUCACUCCCCUUCAUCAUCUCCUUCCCACCCCUCUUUCUGGCUGCAGGUCGUCGGGGGUUCCUCUGCCUGCAGAGAAGAGCCAUCUGCAGAGCUCUGCCUGCCCGGCACAGGGCAGAGGUCUGGGGCCAGGAUCACGGUGGAUGCUUAGGAGGGAAGGAGGGCCUCUUCAACAUCACCAGUGGCUCCAAGCAGCCUGUGGGAGGCAUGGGCCCAGCUACCAAGCCUGAGCAGUUCUGGCCAGCAUCCCACCAGGGGUGGCUGAGCCGGGUCAGACCAAAGAAGCAUCACCAGAGUACAUUUGGGAGCUGGAACCGGGGACACGCAAGUGAGACCUCGCAAGAAAAAGGAAUCACUGGGUCUCAUUUCCCUCUCACAAACUCUUACCAGACUCAUUUUUGCAGCCACGACUCUUCACAACCACCCCCAGGUGCUGGUGUCUUCUGGGGCGUGUGCUGCCCCACGCUCUAGCCUCGUGAGCAGCCGUGCAUGGCCCCCGGGGCAAGAUGUACUGCCGGUGUGCUAGCCCUGUCCUCCCUCCAGGACUUCCCAGGCAGUUGCCAGCUGCAGGCAGAGGGCACAGAGUAGGUAGGACUGGUGCUUCUGGCCUGCAUGGCGGCCACCAGCCCUGUCCGGCUGCAACACACAGCAGCACAUGCAGGAGAAAGUGGUGGUCGCCACCCUCCUCUCCCAGGGUUCACACUGGGGGGUCAACAUGCCACAGGUCCCCAUGAGAUGCUGACCACAGGCCAGGAGAAAGGGGCUGGGCACAGAGGCCCAAGGGACCGCCUAGAGAAGGGCGGAGGGACCCCAGGCAGACGAUGGCCAAGUUGGGGCCCAGAAAAGCAGAGAAGCCUUUGGGCCUUGCUGCCGCAGUGGCCUUGAGGGCUCUGCCAGACCUCCUCCCCAGGCCUGGGUCCACGAUUCCGAUGAGAGACACCAGUGUAACCAGGAGUACAACCAGAACGCCUUUGCACCCUCCAGUGCCCUGUCCCGGGCCACUGUCCCCAGGCCCAGCUGUCCCGAGGUCAGGAGGUCAGGAGCAGGCCUGGCUCAGUCUCCCCAUCUGUGCCCAGGGGGACUGUUUGGCUGCAACUGGUCUUCGAGGUUAUUUUGAGCAUCAAAAAGAGCGACAGUCCCAAUUGUGACAACAUGGAUUUUCAAGGGAAGGAAGCAGCCCGGGCCUCCUGGAACCCCAGGGAGGAGACAGCUGUGACAAGGGGUGGG